rnacentral:tRNA from 1 species
GCAAAGAUUUUAGAGACUGAUAUGAACUCUCUUUUUGAUAUUGAAGCGUAACUAUUGGAAAUCGUGUGACGGGGGUGACUCGUCCGGAGGUUCGAAUCCUCUUCUCUGCGCCA